rnacentral:rRNA from 1 species
AUUGAACGCUGGCGGCAGGCUUAACACAUGCAAGUCGAGCGGAGAUGAGGUGCUUGCACCUUAUCUUAGCGGCGGACGGGUGAGUAAUGCUUAGGAAUCUGCCUAUUAGUGGGGGACAACAUUCCGAAAGGAAUGCUAAUACCGCAUACGUCCUACGGGAGAAAGCAGGGGAUCUUCGGACCUUGCGCUAAUAGAUGAGCCUAAGUCGGAUUAGCUAGUUGGUGGGGUAAAGGACUACCAAGGCGACGAUCUGUAGCGGGUCUGAGAGGAUGAACCGCCACACUGGGACUGAGACACGGCCCAGACUCCUACGGGAGGCAGCAGUGGGGAAUAUUGGACAAUGGGGGGAACCCUGAUCCAGCCAUGCCGCGUGUGUGAAGAAGGCCUUAUGGUUGUAAAGCACUUUAAGCGAGGAGGAGGCUACUGAGACUAAUACUCUUGGAUAGUGGACGUUACUCGCAGAAUAGGCACCGGCUAACUCUGUGCCAGCCGCCGCUGUAA